UGGGGAAUCAUAGACAAUGGGGGCAACCCUGAUCUUGCCAUGCCGCGUGGACGAUGAAGGCCUUAGGGUUGUAAAGUCCUUUCACCGGUGACGAUAAUGACGGUAGCCGGAGAAGAAGCCCCGGCUAACUCCGUGCCAGCAGCCGCGGUAAUACGGAGGGGGCUAGCGUUGUUCGGAAUUACUGGGCGUAAAGCGCGCGUAGGCGGGCUGUUAAGUCGGGGGUGAAAUCCCGGGGCUCAACCCCGGAACUGCCUUCGAUACUGGCAGCCUAGAGGUCGAGAGAGGUGAGUGGAAUGACGAGUGUAGAGGUGAAAUUCGUAGAUAUUCGUCGGAACACCCGUGGCGAAGGCGGCUCACUGGCUCGAUACUGACGCUGAGGUGCGAAAGCGUGGGGAGCAAACAGGAUUAGAUACCCCCGUAGUCC
rnacentral:rRNA from 1 species